CAGUCGCCGCGGUAAUACGUAGGGUGCGAGCGUUAAUCGGAAUUACUGGGCGUAAGGCGUGCGUAGGCGGUUCGUUAAGUCUGUUGUGAAAGCCCCGGGCUCAACCUGGGAAUGGCAAUGGAUACUGGCGAGCUAGAGUGUGUCAGAGGAUGGUGGAAUUCCCGGUGUAGCGGUGAAAUGCGUAGAGAUCGGGAGGAACAUCAGUGGCGAAGGCGGCCAUCUGGGACAACACUGACGCUGAGGCACGAAAGCGUGGGGAGCAAACAGGAUUAGAUACCCCCGUAGUCCCUGUCUCUUAUAA
rnacentral:rRNA from 1 species